rnacentral:misc_RNA from 1 species
CAAUAGGAGCUUGCUCCUGUUGAUUAUCGCCGGACGGGUGAGUAACACGUGGGCAACCUGCCUGUAAGACUGGGAUAACACCGGGAAACCGGUGCUAAUACCGGAUAAUUCUUAUCUACUCAUGUAGGUAAGCUGAAAGUCGGUUUCGGCUGACACUUACAGAUGGGCCCGCGGCGCAUUAGCUAGUUGGUGAGGUAACGGCUCACCAAGGCGACGAUGCGUAGCCGACCUGAGAGGGUGAUCGGCCACACUGGGACUGAGACACGGCCCAGACUCCUACGGGAGGCAGCAGUGGG